GUCCGCAGCCAUGCCACCCUGAACAAGCCUGAUGUCUGAUCUCGUGAAGCUAAGCAGGGUCAGGCCUGGUUAGUACUUAGAUGGGAGACCACCUAGGAAGACUAGGUGCUAUAGACA
rnacentral:rRNA from 1 species